GAUGAACGCUGGCGGCGUGCCUAAUACAUGCAAGUCGAGCGAACGGACGAGAAGCUUGCUUCUCUGAUGUUAGCGGCGGACGGGUGAGUAACACGUGGAUAACCUACCUAUAAGACUGGGAUAACUUCGGGAAACCGGAGCUAAUACCGGAUGAUAUUUUGAACCGCAUGGUUCAAAAGUGAAAGACGGUCUUGCUGUCACUUAUAGAUGGAUCCGCGCUGCAUUAGCUAGUUGGUAAGGUAACGGCUUACCAAGGCAACGAUGCAUAGCCGACCUGAGAGGGUGAUCGGCCACACUGGAACUGAGACACGGUCCAGACUCCUACGGGAGGCAGCAGUAGGGAAUCUUCCGCAAUGGGCGAAAGCCUGACGGAGCAACGCCGCGUGAGUGAUGAAGGUCUUCGGAUCGUAAAACUCUGUUAUUAGGGAAGAACAUAUGUGUAAGUAACUGUGCACAUCUUGACGGUACCUAAUCAGAAAGCCACGGCUAACUACGUGCCAGCAGCCGCGGUAAUACGUAGGUGGCAAGCGUUAUCCGGAAUUAUUGGGCGUAAAGCGCACGUAGGCGGUUUUUUAAGUCUGAUGUGAAAGCCCACGGCUCAACCGUGGAGGGUCAUUGGAAACUGGAAAACUUGAGUGCAGAAGAGGAAAGUGGAAUUCCAUGUGUAGCGGUGAAAUGCGCAGAGAUAUGGAGGAACACCAGUGGCGAAGGCGACUUUCUGGUCUGUAACUGACGCUGAUGUGCGAAAGCGUGGGGAUCAAACAGGAUUAGAUACCCUGGUAGUCCACGCCGUAAACGAUGAGUGCUAAGUGUUAGGGGGUUUCCGCCCCUUAGUGCUGCAGCUAACGCAUUAAGCACUCCGCCUGGGGAGUACGACCGCAAGGUUGAAACUCAAAGGAAUUGACGGGGACCCGCACAAGCGGUGGAGCAUGUGGUUUAAUUCGAAGCAACGCGAAGAACCUUACCAAAUCUUGACAUCCUUUGACAACUCUAGAGAUAGAGCUUUCCCCUUCGGGGGACAAAGUGACAGGUGGUGCAUGGUUGUCGUCAGCUCGUGUCGUGAGAUGUUGGGUUAAGUCCCGCAACGAGCGCAACCCUUAAGCUUAGUUGCCAUCAUUAAGUUGGGCACUCUAAGUUGACUGCCGGUGACAAACCGGAGGAAGGUGGGGAUGACGUCAAAUCAUCAUGCCCCUUAUGAUUUGGGCUACACACGUGCUACAAUGGACAAUACAAAGGGCAGCGAAACCGCGAGGUCAAGCAAAUCCCAUAAAGUUGUUCUCAGUUCGGAUUGUAGUCUGCAACUCGACUACAUGAAGCUGGAAUCGCUAGUAAUCGUAGAUCAGCAUGCUACGGUGAAUACGUUCCCGGGUCU
rnacentral:rRNA from 1 species